AACUGAGGCUGUCAAACCUGGGGCACAUCAUGAGAAGGCAACAUUCUCCAGAAAAGAAUAAUGGUGGAAAAGGAGAAACGUAACAGGAAAAGAGGAAGGCCGAAUAUGAGAUGCAUUGAUUCUAGAAAAGAAGUCACAGCCCAAAGUUUAAGAGUUGCACAUGGCAGCUUAGGACAGAACAUUUUGGAGGCCCUCCGUUAAUAAGAGUCGGACGCAACUUGACUUCACCUGACAACAUGUGAAGGAGGAUGGCAAUAUAGAGAAGAGGGUGAUCCUGUGCCUUUAACAGUUGUGCGGAAGAGGGAAUUUCAGCAGCUGUCAAGCAAACUGCAGCCGCGGGAUCCUCCCUUCUAACCAACUCUUAAAAGUACAGGAGCCCAGCUCCUCUUUUCCUACACGAUGCCAAACUAUCCUGCGCUGCAAUCUUUCGUCAGGGAUUCUGCUCUUCGUACCUAAACCUGAACCCAGGGCGCAUCCUGGCCAUGUAAACUCUCGGCCGGCUAAUGUUAAGAGCCGCUGCUGCUGCCCAUAGCUCCAGCCCCGACGUCUCCUGUCGCUGACCACACGCCUUUAUGAGGUAUGCUCUCCAAAGGGGGGGGGGAGCGAGAGUCAUUAUGGGCUGAAUCCUUAUUGGCCGUAGGAUCUGCUACAAGUGAGGGUUAUAGGCGAGCAAGGGGCCGGGCUGAGCCUGCCUUUGGGUCUGCGGCAGUGGAGGAGAGCUUACGUGUGCCCGAAAGCCACCCCGCCCCACAUCGGUGGGGUACACAGCUUUCGCCAGCAUGAGAGAUGACAGUAACGUGUUUGAGCCUCUUCUGGAUGAGGAAGACCUGAGCAGAUCCAAAUCUAUGAGAAAAGUAUUCGCAAAGGCUGUGAGAAAAGCUUCAUUCCAGGAGAAAUUGUGGGAAUUUCUGUCACAAAGCUCUGUAGCGUUAUGCCCCACCUUUCAGAAGAGCGUAGGUUAUGGUGUGCCCUGUGUCACCCAUAAGCCCUCUAUGACUGAGACUGAUAGGCCUUGGGUUAAAAGAAAAAUGGUGAUUUUGGUUAUCAGUUUAUCUGUGCUACUUGAACUUAUAUUUUUGUGCAUUCUGCUGUGUUUCUCAUACAAUCCUUCCACUGGGCCCCAAGAUCUACCCAAAGAGGAUGGGAUCAAAGCCAGGAAGAACAUGACAGCUGCCGUCUCAGUUGUGCCAGAAAAUCUCACCCUUGCAACUCUCUUGGCAGCUGAAACGGAAGAACCACAGGGGGGAGCCAUGAGGAACUGCUUGGAGAAAGCUGUUCAGGAGUUCUCUGAGGAGCCAAGCAUUGUGAAGAAGAACACCAGGAUGAUCCUGCAGUGUAACGGAACAAAGCGGGAGUUCCUGUCUGGAAAAGGGGGAAACCUCAUUGAAGUGGUCUGGAUCAAUGAGAAGGUGUCUUAUACAUUGGUUCAUGAAGCCCAUCCAGAUGUCUAUCUGGCAAGGCUUGGACGUCAUCCUUUGCCACUCAACAUCAGCAGCAUCCAGAGUGUCUUAUACAUUGGUUCAUGAAGCCCAUCCAGAUGUCUAUCUGGCAAGGCUUGGACGUCAUCUUUUUGCCACUCAACAUCAGCAGCGUCCAGAGUGUCUUACAAGAUGUGGCUUCCCACAACGCCUCAGAAGAGCUACAGAGUGGCCUCAGGGAGGCCUUAAAGCAAUUGCGCUGCGAACCGUUAAUAGUACAGGACAAUGCCAAAAUGGGGGUGUCUUGCGGAGGGAAGAGCUUCACCUUCAUCUCUGGUAAAGGGCAAACCGAGAUUAAUGUAUACAAAGAAGAACUACAUGGGCCGAUUCAAUAUGUGGUGAAAGCGACAGGAAACGCGUGGUGGUCGAGAUAUUUCAAAAAGGGAAAGCUUUGCUGACAAAAAUGAAGAAGGCCGCACAGGCAAUUGCUAUGUUAUGUUAUGGCUUCAUCGUUAGUUGAUCUUCAAUAUUCUCUCUAGUGCAUAUCAAUCACAGAGUUGACAAUAGGUAGUUGUUUGAAGUAAUUUUUAUAACAGCCAGCUCAGCAAAUUAUCCAGCAUUGAAUGUUCCCCCGCAAUGUGAAGGGCAAUGCCUAACUACAGAUUAAAUGAAGAUUAAUGAUAAAGUUAUGUAUGAAGAAAUAGUGAAUGAGCAGAACUCUGCAUGACAUUUUUUUUCUACCCUAAGACUCGAGAACUGGAUUUUCAAUUUCCUGUUCUGCUCUCUCUCCAGAGUAUUCUUAAAUAAAUAUUUUAACAAAUAUGGUAAUUGGUUUGUA
ensembl:lncRNA